AUGGUUCGCCAUUCUACAUCUCCUUAUGUAGUGUAUCCAUCUGAUAAGCCUUUCCUUAAUAGUGAUCUACGACGCUCCCCAAAUAAGCCUACACUUGCCUAUCCAGAAAGCAACAGCAGAGCCAUAUUUUCUGCUCUGAAAAAUCUUCAAGAUAAGAUUCGACGCUUAGAAAGUGUGAAAACCUUGUCUAAAGAAACAGUUGAAUAUAAGAAAGUACUGGAUGAACAGAUACAAGAAAGGGAGAAUUCAAAGAAUGAGGAAUCAAAGCAUAAUCAAGAACUGACAUCUCAAUUGUUAGCUGCAGAAAAUAAGUGUAAUCUUUUAGAAAAACAGCUGGAAUAUAUGCGAAAUAUGAUAAAGCAUGUGGAAAUAGAGAGGUCAUCUGUCUUGGAGAAACAGGUUUCCUUAGAAAGAGAACGGCAACAUGAUCAGAUACAUGUUCAGAGCCAGCUUGAAAAACUGGAUCUUCUUGAACAAGAAUAUAAUAAACUUACCACAAUGCAGGCUCUUGCAGAAAAAAAAAAUGCAAGAGUUGGAAGCAAAACUUCAUGAAGAAGAACAGGAAAGGAAACGUAUGCAAGCUAAGGCAGCUGAGUUGCAGACUGGUCUAGAAACAGAUAAACUUAUCCUUGAUGAAAAGGCAACUCCAUAUGUUCCCAGUGCAAGAAGAAUUAAAAAAAAGAAGACAAAAUCACCAGAAAAGAAGAGUCCUAGGAACUAUUUUGGUGCCCAGCCGCAUUAUAGAUUAUGCUUGGGUGAUAUGCCAUUUGUAGCUGGAAAGUCCACCAGUCCUAGUCAUGCUGUGGUGGCCAAUGUUCAGCAUGUCUUGCAUCUAAUGAGGCAGCACAGUAAAGCUUUGUGCAAUGAUCGAGUAGUCAACAACGUUCCUUUGGCAAAACAAGUAUCUUCCCGAGGUGCUAAAAGUAAGAAGUUGUCAGUAACACCUUCCUCCUCCACCAGCAUUAAUGAGUAGUUGUCAGAAGUCUUACAGACCUUACAGGAUGUAUUUGGGCAGAUGAGCUUUGAUCAUCAGCAGCUUGCAAAACUUAUCCAAGAGUCGCCAACCGUAGAACUGAAAGAAAACUUAGAGUGUGAGCUGGAGGCACUGGUGGGAAGGAUGGAGGCAAAAGCCAAUCAAAUAACUAAAGUUCGAAAAUACCAAGCCCAGCUGGAGAGACAAAAGCUAGAGAAGCAGAAGAAGGAAUUAAAAGCUACCAAAAAAACUCUUGAUGAAGAGGGGAACAGCAGCAACCGUUCUGGGAUCACAGGAGGGGCCACAAGUAAGAAGGAUUGUGCCAAACCCAGACCUGGAGAAAAAAGAAGGAAAAAUCUUCAAUUAUUGAAGGACAUGCAGACCAUACAGAAUUCAUUACAGAGUUGUGUUGGGAUUACUGACUUGGACCAGGUCAUAAAUUUUAUUCAGAUAAUCUGUACCUCAUCAAUCAAAUUUUGACAAUUUUACUUUCCAGACCUCAUGUUUAGUUGGAAUUAAUGAGUAGCAGGUAUUAAGAAAUCCAAGCUUCAUUACACUGAAUUUUUGUGUAUGCGGCAUGACUAAAUGUUAAACCAGGGGAGUGUUAAGCCUAAGAAGCCACAUAUAAUCUGUUUCUUGUAGAUAAAUUUGCUGUACUGGUAUAUUGCUCUUUGUAAACAAAUUACCAAUUUUUUACUUGUGGAUGUGAUUUUUUAAAAUAGUUCAUUAUACAGUAUACAAUAAAAUUGGGUUUAAAUUUUCAAAAAAUACAUUUUAGAGUUAAUAAUAUUUCUAUUUGAAUAUUUUAAAUAUUCAGAAAUCAGGAAUAUUUGUCAGGAAUCCCCAUAUUGAUGGUUUACAUCUCUAUUCUAAAAUCUCAGGUUACUCCUAAACAUUUUUGAGUCCAAUUAUCUUUUAUACCAAAAAUAGCCCUUAUAGUAAAUUUCUAUAUACACAGAAUUCAAUCAAGGAAAAGAUUUAUAAUCAUUCUUCCCCUCAAAAUGCUGCAUAAUAUAUUGUUAUGCUGAUACUAAAAUUCUACAAGUACAUUUUUUACCAUCAAAAAAAUAGUGCUCUGUUUAGAAUGUAUUUUAUCUACUUCUACAAUUUCUAAUUUAAGUACUUUUAAAUUAUUGUAUUUUAGUUUUGAGCAUGUUCAGUUGACUGAAGCACCCCAUUUCCUAGACAUAUGAAAUAAAAUAUUUGGCUUUUUUUUUUUUUUUCUUUUGAGGCAGAGUCUCACUGUGUUGCCCUUGGUAGAGUGCCGUAGCAUCACCGCUCGCAGCAACCUCAAACUCUUGGGCUUAAACGAUUCUCUUGCUUCAAUCUCCCAAGUAGCUGGGACUACAGGCGCCCCACCACAAUGCCUGGGGGUUUUUUUUGCAGCAGUUGUCAUUGUUGUUUAGCAGGUCCGGGUCGGGUUUGAACCCACCAGCCUUGGUGUGUGUGACCGGUGCCCUAACCACCAAGCUACGGGCACUGAGCCCUCAGGCUAGUCUCAAACCUGCGAGCUCAGGCAAUCCACCCACCUCGGCCUUCCAGAGUGCUAGGAUUACAGGUGUGAGCCACCACUCCCAGCCAAUAUUUGGCUUGUUAAUGAAAUAUAUUGACUUCCAGACAAAGGAAGAACUACAAUCCAUAGUGUACCAAGGAAAAUAAUAAUUUCCUUAAAUUUCACACUGAUGUUCUAUUUUUAAAAAUCAGUGGUUUAAAAUAAAUUUUUAUAUUUUAAGGUAGACUUGAGAAAACAGACCUAAUCUUCCAGAUUUAUUCAGUUUGUCUAACCUCAACAGCAGCCAGUUUAAAAAUUAUGUGAAUAUCUUAUUUCAAGAAGAUUCAGCAAAUCACAUCUAAGAAUUACACUAUAAUUCUGUUGCUUUCAAUUUUGUAUUUCACAGAUUUCAAAAUGUGAAGCAUGGAACUGUCAAUUUAUUUUGAUAAUUUAUAUUCAAGAUUAAUUUAUGAACAUAUGCCUAAAAUGUAAUAAUUUAUAGCAUAAGUUUAUAUGUUAUAAAUAUGUAAUUUCUAAGUAUAUAAUUUAUCUGAAUGUAGUAGGUUAUUCAUAUAUUUUACAUUAUUGGGACAAGAAUAAGGGAAUUUCUAGGUGAUUCAAUUUAAAAAUAAUUUGUUAUUUGCGUUGUUUUAAAAGUGGUUAAUACAACAGGAAAAAAGAUAAGUCAUAAUAAAUAAGACAAAUUUUGUCAUCAAAAAAAGUGUAUCCAGAGUAAUUGUAGUAAUUACUGCUUGGCAAAAUUUUAGAUGAGCGUCAACAUUACUUUUAUGAUGGAAGAAUAGUGUUUGCAUUUUGUAUAAAAAUACUUGGGACCAAGCCUUGGAAAAAAAGAUUGUGUCUAUACUGUCAAAAAAAGCAACU